AAUUCUCAACCUCACCUCUUUUGUGUGUAGGCUUGGAUGUGGAGGGCUUGCAGGUCCGGCUCUCUCGAGUUGGUCUGCUCCUCUGAAAUGUAUUAGUGGGUUGUAGCCCCUCAUCUAUUGGUGUGAUAAUUAUCUACGCCGUGGAUCAGUGUUGGCAACAAAUGAAGACCUGCUUCUAACCGUCCGACUCGGACAACCAAUGACAU
rnacentral:misc_RNA from 1 species